GUCGAACGCUGGCGGCGUGCCUAAUACAUGCAAGUCGAACGCAGUGGGGACGGGUGUGUAACACGUGGGUAACCUCCCAUCAGAGGGGAUAACACUUGGAAACAGGUGCUAAACCGAUACUGAUGGAUGGACCUGAGGUGCAUUAGCUAGUUGGUGAGGUAACGGCUCACCAAGGCCACGAUGCAUAGCCGGCCUGAGAGGAUGACCGGCCACACUGGGACUGAGACACGGCCCAGACUCCUACGGGAGGCAGCAGUAGGGAAUAUUCGGCAAUGGACGAAAGUCUGACCGAGCAACGCCGCGUGAGUGAAGAAGGUUUUCGGAUCGUAAAUCUCUUUUGUUAGAGAAGCGGUAUCUAACCAGAAAGCAACGGCUAACUACGUGCCAGCAGCCGCGGUAAUAC
rnacentral:rRNA from 1 species